UACAGAGGGUGCGAGCGUUAAUCGGAAUUACGUGGGCGUAAAGCGUGACGUAGACGGUCAAGUAAGUCGGGUGUGAAAGCCCAGAGCUCAACUCUGGAAUUGCCUUUUAGACUGCAUCGCUUGAAUCAUGGAGAGGUCAGUGGAAUUCCGAGUGUAGAGGUGAAAUUCGUAGAUAUUCGGAAGAACACCAGUGGCGAAGGCGGCUGACUGGACAUGUAUUGACGCUGAGGUGCGAAAGCGUGGGGAGCAAACAGG
rnacentral:rRNA from 1 species